UGGAUCUAAAUAUAGAUAUGGCGCUAUUUGUCGGGAGUAUUAAAUGGCGUAUAUUAAACACGUGGUGACAGAUUCAUUAGCAUCUUUCUUUUCGUGUAAAACAUAAAGAAAUUUUUAUUCGUAUGCAAUUAAUAGUAAAUUUUUCAAAAGGUGACACUUUUGUUUUUAAAGGAGGAUCAAUCAAAGAGGAGUAGCUAAAAAUGCUAAAGGAUCAUUCAAGGAGGAACAAUAAAAAAUUGAGGAUCCAUCAAAUAGGAGCACUAGCUUCAGACAAAUUCAGAAAGGUUAAUCAAGGAGCGUUGCAAUCUAGGAGGAGAAAUGCUGAAGGAUCGUUCAAGGAAGAGUAGCUUCAGACAAAUUCGGAAAGAUUAUUUAAGAAGAAUCAAUCUAGGAGAAGAAAUGCUGAUGGAUCGUUCAAGGAAGAGCAGCUUCAGACAAAUUCGGAAAGAUUAUUCAAGGAGAAUCAAUCUAGGAGGAUAGAAAUGCUGAAGGAUCAUUUCAAGGAGAAACAAUAAAAAAUUGUUUGUAGGAGUCCGUUUCUUGAAGGAUGGGUGUUUGUUGCGGAGCAGCUCCUGGAGGAGAUCUGGCAUAGCUGAGUCGCAGUUCAAUGGGAGAGUGGACAACGUUGGAUCAUUUCAGUUUUCCAGAAAAUUAUUUAAAAAUCUCUACCAAACUCCAAAAAAGGCAGUUGGUUCUAGUGAAAGUGUUUACAAAGUGAAUAUAGUGUCAUCGUAUCAUCGUCACAAUGUGAGAAUUCCAAUUAUCAACCAGAAUGACAGGAAGGAUGUGGACGAAGAAAAACGGUCCCAGCAUGUUGCCAAAUUUUUCAAAAAUAGUCUUUUCUUUUAUUUAUUUAUUUAUUUUUUUUGCUUGGCAACAUCGCUCUCGAUCUGCGCAGAAGUGCAAUCAAGAAGCAGAGAUCUUCGAGAGUGGCCACAAGAGGAAGGAGGAACAAUGCAAACCUUGUUCCGACGUGGGAUGUUCGCCGAUUGAUGAGUCGUUUUUUAAUUUAACCCCUUCCCUGUUUGAAUUAAUUAAUUAAUUUUGAUUUAAUUGAUUUUCUUUAAAUUUAUUUAUACAGUUCAUUAAUAUUUAUAAAUUGAAUAUUAAAAUUUUCGAUAUCAAUUUUAACUUAUGAAUUUUGGAACAUUAAUUUUUUGACUUUAUUUAAAAUAUAAAUUAUCAGUCUCAUUCAAACAAAACAUUUGAAACAAUUUUUUA